rnacentral:lncRNA from 1 species
CUUUGCUGCUCCUGGUACCAUGGUAACAGCUCAAAGUGCCGUCAGAUCUCUCCUCCCGCUAGUUUGCUGUGCUGUCCUCUGCUCCUCUAUACUGUAGACCCCCUUCACCAGCAAACAGUUGACCCAAUGGCCAUCCAGGCACCAGGACAAUAGAGGACAAGGCAAGUAAUCAGCCUAGUACAUAUCCCCAGUCUGUGUAUAUUCUGUAUAUACUAGUGGUUAAAAGUGAGGGGCUUGUACUCCACCAUAGAACAGACAAAAGACACCUGUGAAUGAAUAAAGGAGAAAAAGAAACAGUGAAAAAUAAUGCAAAAGAAAAGGUAUAGCAAGAACUUAGUUAAAAUUAGUUGGUUUUGCCUAAGAAAUGCCUUUUAUUAUUAUCCAAUAUAGGAAAAGAUGAAUGAACUGCAGAUUCUUACCAUGGACAUGAGAGGAGUCAGGUAUUUCCAGCACAGCAUGAAUAAUUGGUUGGGGCUUGAUUUUGUCAUAUGAUAAAUAAGUUGUGUGUAGAGGAUUUAGCUUCUUUGGCUUUCCAGCAUUGAUGUUGUAUUCUGUUGGCUUUAAUGAUGUUAAGGUUUAUAGCCUGUGUGUGAUUUACCAUUAAGGACAUAUUUUUAGUCAAACAACAGGAAUACAUCCCCCUGCAGGUCACAGUAUAACAUAACAACACAUAAAGAUAUUGUAGUGUUAAUAAUAUACAAUGCAAAUUAAAGAAAUAAAAUUGCACAGACCCUCGGUCUUUCAAAUUUGAGAAUUUUAACAGUAGGCCUUUAUACUGUAGGCUCAGUUAAUUUUUGUUCAUUUUACUCUCAUUACACAAAACACUCUCCUUUGACCUCUGUAACCAUGAUGAAUUGGCCCAAGAAGCAAGUGAAACAGAAGAGCAGGAGGAAUGUUUCUCCCCGUCCUGCCCUGUGCAGAAUCACUGGGAACAGAUCCAUCACUGAUGUCGUGACGGCUUCCACUGGAACAAACUUCAAAGGGAUGGUCAUAAAGUUAUGGAAGAAUAUGAGAGUGUUGUCACAACCGGCCCAUGGCAGUUGGGAGCUGAAAGAAGAGAUGAGGAAGAAAAGCGCCCAAGCCAUGGCAAAAGUGUUUGCAUGGGAAAAGAUUAAACAAAUUUAAUUUAAUUGAUUAAAACUUUUAUAAUACAUGUAGCAGAGGAAUGGAAAUCUCCCAAUUUUUCAACCACAUUUCCUGCCACAGCCAGAAGAAACUCAAAGACUCAGUGACCUCUCUCUUCUGUUUGUCCUUUUAUUCUGUCCAUUCCACACAGUUUUCACACAUUUCCAUUGAUGUCCAGGCUGCACAUAUUCUGGUUAGCAUUAGUUUCUACAAAUGUGUCAAGGUAUUCAUUGACUGAUCCUCCCCAGCUAAACUGACAAACAGGUUUACAUUAUUUAAGAAACAGAAAAGACAGAAUAAUGAUAAUAUCCAAAUCUUAUGCAAUAGUCAUCCAAAAUUAUUCAAAUAAAGUGGCUAAAUGAAAUAAAGUGACCGGUUUUAAAAACAUAGUUUGAUUAAUUAAUAUGUAAAACCUAAAGCUUCCAGUUUAGGAAGAAAUUCAAUGUAGAAGACUUGUUCUUUCAAUUACAGUUUUUUUUUGGUUUGGUACAACAUUUAUAAAUAAGGUGUGAAUUUUCUUGUAAUACUAAUAUCACAACAGAUCAUCAAAAGUGUACUAUUUAUUUUUCAAAUAUUUCAGCAUAUUUUCACUUGUCUUAGUAUGAUCCACACAAUCAAAAAGAAUCCUUUUCACUACACAAAAUAAGUGUUGCAUCUAUAAAUGUUUUAUUCACAGUAACAGUCUUUCAUAAAGCUGUCAUUAUCAAACUUUUCAUUUGCAUGUCUUCUCAUUCAGUUACAUUUGUCUAUUAUUUAAUCUAACUCAUCUGAAUGGUUAACCAGUUAAUCAUUUGGUGCAUCUAUGUAUAGAUACAUGUAGAAAUAUAAUUCAGUAGAUAUAGUCUCUAAAGAACUUGCCUGCAAUUUAUGGAUAAUCAAAUGUAAUUAAUAAUUUUUACACUAGUGAUUAAUUUCGUAAGGGUAAGUUUUAGGAAUAGGGUGACUGUAGGGGGAUAUAAUAUACAGUUUGUACAGUAUAAAUCCCAUUACUCCUACUGAAUGUCACCUAUAAAGAUAGGAAUACCUACCUGACAAAAUCACCCAAAACCUCUCUUUGAGGAUGUCCUGAUUUGUGAAACUGUCUGUUUUUGCAAUUUGUGAAAAUACAGCAGGAUACAAGGGAGAGGAACUGAUCAGAGAUUGAUCAGAGAUGUAUCAGAAGAAGGGAGACAGAUGGCAUCAAAUACAGUAUUUUGCAUUACAUUGUGCCAUGUGAUACUGUAUGUAGUGGCAUACCUGUAUACCAGGGUAGAGACAGCACAUAUAACUCACCUUCAAUCUGAAAAGUUCAGUUACAGUAUAGAUUCAGUCAUUGUCAGGGUUAUGGGCUGUUUGUGUGGGCUUGCUCUGUGUGACCCAGUUUCUUCCUCUUGUUAAUGAUUAAUUCGAAUCCAGGUGUGUCUAGUCAUUAGUCCCUUAAUUCUCUGUGUAUUUAAGGUCUUGCCCAUUCAAUUAGUUUAGUUGGUUCUGCAUGUCUUUUCCGGUGUCUUCUAUGUUGUGAGUGGUUUAUUAAAGACUUUGAUAUUCAAUAACUCUUUGUUUCCUCAAAUCAGUCAUCAAAUCAUCAUAAUAAUUUUGUAAUAUGUUUAUUUACAGGACUGUUUGGAUGAAACAAGCUACCCUUAAAGUGCCCCAAUAAUGGAUUUUUUUUUUUUUUAAAUGCAGUGUUGUAACACAAACAUAAAAGUUCACCGAGUAUAAAGUUAUUGUCUUUCAAAAGAAAGAGUCGACUCUGAGUCAUGAAAACAAGUAGUUUUUAAAAUGACUCCUAAGCUGUUUCAAGUUGACAUCAAAAAUAAAAACUCACAUAUUUAUGCCCGCCCACAUGCAGACCCAGGAAAACUUGAACCUCCCCUCCCUCAAACACAGUAGCAGCGGUUUCCUGCAGAAGAGUGUAACUGAAGCCUGGAGAUCUCCAAAUGGGAGUGGAAACUCCAAAAUGUGGUGGGAGCAGUAAACAGGAGCUUCUUCCCAUUGACAGACAGGUACAUGACACACAUGCAAAAAAAUGUUCUCCCAAUCCACUUCAGUGCAAACUCUGCUCGACAGCUGAUUAUAAAGUUUUUAUUGGUUGUGUAAUAUCAAUUGACUGACUGCAAGGAGGGUGCUGAAUAGCAUGGUAAUGAAAGUUGCACUUCAGGAGAUGAACAAUUAAUAAGAUUGUGUGAUAUGAGAUAGUUCAAUGACUCCCCAACUGGACCUCACCGGACAACGGCACCUUUUUAGUUACACCUAGCAUCACUGCCCCCCUCCUACCCUGUGUAUUUCGUGCCCUGGGACGCCCCCAUUGCUUGGAACAAAGUUAUAGAGUAAAAUAUUUCCCCUGUACUGGGAAAGCUUGCAUGAGAGCUCGUGGGUGAUUUUAAUUUACAUCAUGAAGCAGAGGUUCAAACUCAGGUUCGAACACCACCUGCCACCACCAGCCACCACCAGCUUUGGGCUCUGCUCUCAGGGAGGAUAUUUAUUUAUAUAGCAUAUUUUAUUUUAAAUGAACUAGACACAAUGAUUCAUUUAGAAAAAAAAGUCCAUAAAAAUUGCCAAUGGUGACGAGGAGACCCCAUCCCAUUUUUGAGGUUCUGCCUACUUUUGGAGUUCAG